CAGAGUUUGAUCCUGGCUCAGAACGAACGCUGGCGGCAGGCCUAACACAUGCAAGUCGAGCGAGAAGCCACCUUCGGGGGGGGGACAGCGGCAGACGGGGGAGUAACGCGUGGGAACGUACCCUUUGGUUCGGAACAACUCCGGGAAACUGGAGCUAAUGCCGGAUAAGCCCUUCGGGGGAAAGAUUUAUCGCCGAUGGAUCGGCCCGCGUCUGAUUAGCUUUUUGGGGGGGUAAUGGCCCACCAAGGCGACGAUCAGUAGCUGGUCUGAGAGGAUGAUCAGCCACACUGGGACUGAGACACGGCCCAGACUCCUACGGGAGGCAGCAGUGGGGAAUAUUGGACAAUGGGCGCAAGCCUGAUCCAGCCAUGCCGCGUGAGUGAUGAAGGCCCUAGGGUUUUAAAGCUCUUUCGGCGGGGACGAUAAUGACGGUACCCGCAGAAGAAGCCCCGGCUAACUUCGUGCCAGCAGCCGCGGUAAUACGAAGGGGGCUAGCGUUUUUCGGAAUUACUGGGCGUAAAGCGCACGUAGGCGGAUCGUUUAGUCGGGGGGGAAAUCCCGGGGCUUAACCCCGGAACUGCCUCCGAUACUGGCGAUCUUGAGUCCGAGAGAGGGGAGUGGAACUCCGAGUGUAGAGGGGAAAUUCGUAGAUAUUCGGAAGAACACCAGUGGCGAAGGCGGCUCACUGGCUCGGUACUGAG
rnacentral:rRNA from 1 species